rnacentral:rRNA from 1 species
AUUGAACGCUGGCGGAAUGCUUUACACAUGCAAGUCGAACGGCAGCACGGGGGCAACCCUGGUGGCGAGUGGCGAACGGGUGAGUAAUACAUCGGAACGUGCCCAGUCGUGGGGGAUAACGUAGCGAAAGUUACGCUAAUACCGCAUACGAUCUACGGAUGAAAGCGGGGGACCGUAAGGCCUCGCGCGAUUGGAGCGGCCGAUGUCAGAUUAGGUAGUUGGUGAGGUAAAGGCUCACCAAGCCGACGAUCUGUAGCUGGUCUGAGAGGACGACAGGCCAGACGGGGAGUGAGGCACGGUCCAGACUCCUACGGGAGGCAGCAGUGGGGAAUUUUGGACAAUGGACGCAAGUCUGAUCCAGCCAUUCCGCGGGCAGGAUGAAGGCCCUCGGGUUGUAAACUGCUUUUGUACGGAACGAAAAGGUCUCUCUUAAUACGGGGGGCUCAUGACGGUACCGUAAGAAUAAGCACCGGCUAACUACGUGCCAGCCGCCGCCGUAA